rnacentral:rRNA from 1 species
ACGAACGCUGGCGGCGUGCCUAAUACAUGCAAGUAGAACGCUGAAGAGAGGAGCUUGCUCUUCUUGGAUGAGUUGCGAACGGGUGAGUAACGCGUAGGUAACCUGCCUUGUAGCGGGGGAUAACUAUUGGAAACGAUAGCUAAUACCGCAUAACAAUGGAUGACACAUGUCAUUUAUUUGAAAGGGGCAAUUGUUCCACUACAAGAUGGACCUGCGUUGUAUUAGCUAGUAGGUGAGGUAAUGGCUCACCUAGGCGACGAUACAUAGCCGACCUGAGAGGGUGAUCGGCCACACUGGGACUGAGACACGGCCCAGACUCCUACGGGAGGCAGCAGUAGGGAAUCUUCGGCAAUGGGGGCAACCCUGACCGAGCAACGCCGCGUGAGUGAAGAAGGUUUUCGGAUCGUAAAGCUCUGUUGUAAGUCAAGAACGGGUGUGAGAGUGGAAAGUUCACACUGUGACGGUAGCUUACCAGAAAGGGACGGCUAACUACGUGCCAGCAGCCGCGGUAAUACGUAGGUCCCGAGCGUUGUCCGGAUUUAUUGGGCGUAAAGCGAGCGCAGGCGGUUUGAUAAGUCUGAAGUUAAAGGCUGUGGCUCAACCAUAGUUCGCUUUGGAAACUGUCAAACUUGAGUGCAGAAGGGGAGAGUGGAAUUCCAUGUGUAGCGGUGAAAUGCGUAGAUAUAUGGAGGAACACCGGUGGCGAAAGCGGCUCUCUGGUCUGUAACUGACGCUGAGGCUCGAAAGCGUGGGGAGCGAACAGGAUUAGAUACCCUGGUAGUCCACGCCGUAAACGAUGAGUGCUAGGUGUUGGAUCCUUUCCGGGAUUCAGUGCCGCAGCUAACGCAUUAAGCACUCCGCCUGGGGAGUACGACCGCAAGGUUGAAACUCAAAGGAAUUGAUGGGGGCCCGCACAAGCGGUGGAGCAUGUGGUUUAAUUCGAAGCAACGCGAAGAACCUUACCAGGUCUUGACAUCCCGAUGCUAUUUCUAGAGAUAGAAAGUUACUUCGGUACAUCGGUGACAGGUGGUGCAUGGUUGUCGUCAGCUCGUGUCGUGAGAUGUUGGGUUAAGUCCCGCAACGAGCGCAACCCCUAUUGUUAGUUGCCAUCAUUCAGUUGGGCACUCUAGCGAGACUGCCGGUAAUAAACCGGAGGAAGGUGGGGAUGACGUCAAAUCAUCAUGCCCCUUAUGACCUGGGCUACACACGUGCUACAAUGGUUGGUACAACGAGUUGCGAGUCGGUGACGGCGAGCUAAUCUCUUAAAGCCAAUCUCAGUUCGGAUUGUAGGCUGCAACUCGCCUACAUGAAGUCGGAAUCGCUAGUAAUCGCGGAUCAGCACGCCGCGGUGAAUACGUUCCCGGGCCUUGUACACACCGCCCGUCACACCACGAGAGUUUGUAACACCCGAAGUCGGUGAGGUAACCUUUUGGAGCCAGCCGCCUAAGGUGGGACAGAUGAUUGGGGUG